CCGUAGCCCAAGAGAUCGGGAUAACACCUGGAAACAGAUGCUAAUACAGGAUAACAACAGAUGAUGCCUAUCAACUGUUUAAAAGAUGGUUCUGCUAUCACUCUUGGAUGGACCUGCGGUGCAUUAGCUAGUUGGUAGGGUAACGGCCUACCAAGGCGAUGAUGCAUAGCCGAGUUGAGAGACUGAUCGGCCACAUUGGGACUGAGACACGGCCCAAACUCCUACGGGAGGCAGCAGGC
rnacentral:rRNA from 1 species